AUGAUGAUUAUUACUUCAAGGAAACGAUAAAGAAAUGAUCAUAAAUGUUCUUCCUUGAGCUGCGGCACCCCGCUGUAGUCUGUAAUGGACUGGCCUGAGGUCUCUCUACAAACAAGCAGCUGCUGGAAGAGAGUAGGUGAGUUGUGUUUAGUCUCUUUGCUAAAGAAAUGAGUCAAAGUUAAAAAGAUGUUUGGUGGCUAGUACUAUGUCUGUGACCCUAUAUGUCCUGUUGAUGAAGUUAGGUGCUGUUCUGAGCAUUAUUGGUGGCUAUAGAGUGGCGUUUUGGUUGGGGGCGUGUCUCUCUGUAUUUCUAUCCUGCGGUCGUUACUAAAGUUGGUAUAACUAGAGAAGCAAGCGGUCGACAACAUUCAUCUCUGGAGGCGGGGUCUAACUCGGGGUUACGGUGGGUUUGACCAUGACUUAGUUUCAUGCUGGAAUAUCCCUUUAAGGAGCUGCUGAACGCCUCCAGACCACCUUAAAUGUCCCCCCUGUUACUCCUCUCUUCAGCCUCCUUGUCUUCUGUCUCUUCUUUUCUCCCUCCUGUCUUUUUAUCCCCCCCCCCAGCCCCGCUCUGGGUCCACCUCUGAUUGUGGACUCUGCAGCUCUAAAUGGAUCUGCCCUCCUGAGCGAACGGGUCAGCACUUAUUUCCGCUGCCUUUAAUGAGAAACACAUGGCUGCUGCGCCUCCUCCUCCUCCUCCUCCCCUUGCUCCUUCAGGCCUUCUCUUCUAGUCUGUCCAGGCCAGAAGGAAGGAGGAGGAGGAGGAGGAGGUGAGGGGUAGAAGAGUGAUGUUACACUCAGGUUAUAUGAGAAAAAGAGAAACUGAAGAAAAAGAUUAAAGAUCUCCACGGAUCACCUGAACCAGAUCCUGGACUAGGAGUUGACCCUCAGUCUGAGUGGACCCUGAUGGAGCAGACGUGAACGUCUGCCUCCAGACCUUCUCCGUGGUCAUUUGGCCUCUUCUACCCUCCCUUUGUCUUCACUUUAAUAAAGUUUCACCAUGUCAGAAAGAAACAAAGAGAGGAACAGGAGCGAGAAGGAUCAAUCAUCACGAGCAUGAUCUCAGCGGCGCACAAAGAGGCGGAGCUACAAGACACUUAAAUGAAAUAUGAGAUCAGAUUAGAGAUGGUACGAGCAACUGUGAAGGACAUCCAACAACCACAAGCUGGAGCAGUUCGAGAACUCUGUCCAAAUGUGGAUCCAAGCCUGACUGCGGAGAACGCUGAAGUAUUCGACCUGCGGUCAGAGGAACCUCCAAUCUUCACCGCAUCCAGAACAGCUGCGAUCUGGAACGGCGGCGAUUUUCACCGUCCGCCAGUUCCUACCGGAUCCGUUAGUGAGGCGAAUUUUGUGGCGGAUUACAGACGUUACAUUCAAUAUGAUGAAGAGUCGUCUCUCUAAAGACAGACACAUAGACAUAUAAGCAGUAGAUUGUGUCCUUCCAGAGGAGGAAAUCUACUUCUAGACUUCUAGAAUCAGCAUCUCCUCAUCCAUGGUGUCAUCGGGGUGAAAUGACGUCUAAAAACCUUUCACUUGUUCGUCUCCGCCCGUUUGCAUGGUGUGAAAUACGAUCCUCCUGAAACACGGAGUGUUUUAUUUUGAAAAGAAGCCGGAUGUUUUAUUUUGUGUCUGUGCCCGACUUCCUUUCCAGCACGGGUUAAUCUGUGCUGAAUUUAUCCGCCAUGCUCCGGCGUCCAGAAAAAAUAGAACUCUUGUGAUCAGCUGAGGAGUCCGGCGAUCCGCAGAGGAACGGAAAGAAGUCGGUGUAAAUUGACACGUUAACUUGAAUGGUUACGAUCAGCUACGAUCGGAGGAUACGACCUUUUAGGAGACCAUCAGGAUGAAGGUGGAGGUCGGAGGUCCGACCUAAGCGGAGUGUGGGUGGUUUCAGGCUGAAUGCCUGAGUGUCUCUGCUUUAAACAUCCUCUUCAUCAUGAGGGGGGGAGGAGGAGGAGGAGGAGGAGGAGGAGGAGGAGGAGGAGGAGGGUCUGGGGGGAAGUUAGCAUCAGUGCUUUGGACAUAAACAGACUGAGAGUCUGAGCUGAUGAGCAACAUGUGUCCGGACUGAGAAACACAGGAAGACCCAGAACCACAGACCUGCAAACACAAAACACAGCCAGCUGAUCCUGAAAGUCCAGCACCGGGUCAGGGAGAGGGUCUACAAGGACAGUAUGAUGGGGGUCCUGAAUGGAGACUCUGUUUUGUCACUGAUCAGGAUCCUGAUUCAGACACUCAGACCCUCCUUUACUGUGCGGUCUAAAUCAGAGCAGGGUCAGAACAGCAGAGGGACGGUCUGAACCAGAUCCUCAUCCAGACCAGGUUCCUGGUUUAUCGUAGAAAAGGUUCUAGAUUCUGUCGUAGGAAUAAAACGUCGAAUAAGAAGAAAAAACUCUGUUUUUCUCAAACCUGCGGACACGGUCGUACGAUCGAGUCAGUGAUCGGUGAUGAUGAAUCCGCCUGUUCUUUCCUGGCGAGCUCGUUCAUGGUUAGGG